rnacentral:lncRNA from 1 species
AUCACUGAAUGUGACCAACUGUGGAGCACUCUGCUGUCAAGAGUAGCUCACAAAAGGUAUGGGUAUAAGUGUCUCUCCGACCUGAGAUCACCAUAGUGACUUACAAGCAACUCACUAUACUUUGAUGCCAAACAAACUGAGUUUUUAAUUUAGUGACAGAAGAUUUUUGGGUGCAGUCAAGUACUUAUCAAGUCGGUGUGUGAAUCAAAAUGGGAUUGACCCCUCUGAAUUAGUAGG